rnacentral:rRNA from 1 species
UGAUAUAGGAGGAGUCUGCGGCACAUUAGCUAGUAGGUGAGGUAAGAGCUCACCUAGGCGACGAUGUGUAGCCGGUCUGAGAGGAUGAACGGCCACAAUGGAACUGAGACACGGUCCAUACUCCUACGGGAGGCAGCAGUGGGGAAUAUUGCACAAUGGGGGAAACCCUGAUGCAGCAACGCCGCGUGAGUGAAGAAGGUUUUCGGAUUGUAAAGCUCUGUUAGCAGGGAAGAGGAAGGACGGUACCUGCAGAGGAAGCCACGGCUAACUACGUGCCAGCAGCCGCGGUAAUACGUAGGUGGCAAGCGUUGCUCGGAAUAACUGGGCGUAAAGGAUGCGUAGGCGGUUGAGUAAGUUAUGUGUUAAAUAUAUAGGCUUAACCUGUAGAAAGCACAUAAAACUGUUUAACUAGAGUGCAGGAGAGGUAAGUGGAAUUCCUAGUGUAGCGGUGAAAUGCGUAGAGAUUAGGAAGAACACCAGUGGCGAAGGCGACUUACUGGACUGUAACUGACGCUGAGGCAUGAGAGCAUGGGGAGCAAACAGGAUUAGAUACCCUGGUAGUCCAUGCUGUAAACGAUGGGUACUAGGUGUGGGUUGUGAAUAACAAUCCGUGCCGUCGCAAACGCAAUAA